rnacentral:lncRNA from 1 species
CUCCCCGUGGUGACUAUUCCGGAAUGCACCGCUUGAGGGGGAGCUACCUCCCUCAAGCCAAGACUUAUCGUGAGUAUCGAUCCAAUCCUCAACUUGAGGACACAUAGCCACUAGCCACAAUGCCACUUUAACGAUGAUAGGUCUCUACCUUAUCAUACUUGCCAUUCUCUUGGCUACUCUUGCCAUAAUGUCACUAUUGUUUAAACUAGGUUUAACAAUGUGUAUCUCGAUGCCAAUCUUGUCUCUAUUGUCAAUGUCACCUUUGUUUACUAUUAUCUUAGUCCGGGUCUCACAUUCAUACAAGUUUUGGCUCUCCUCGGCGGGGACGAGGGUUGUGGUUGAUCAGCAGCACCACCGUCCUCCUCCCAACUCUCAAGCAAAACCAUUAUGGGGAAUGACUCUUCCCCCAGAAUUAGGGACAGAUUUUG